UUUGACCCCUGAUCAAGACCUCCCGAUGCAGCUGUCAGCUGGCAUUCGGGGCUUUGCAGGUUGUCUCCGGGCUUCAUACCCCAGCAGCCAGCUGUGUGCAGGGAGCACCGCCCUGUAAGCAGGGUUGCCGGUGCUUGCGGUCACCGUUCAUGGUGCCGCCCGAGCAGUUCUGUCCGGAGUUCUGGCCCAUCGCACUCUGCUCCUGGCUGGAUGUCAGAGGCCGAACCUGCAGACGUCUGCUCUUCCCACUUUGCACGGACUGACGAUGGAGUGGCAGCAGGUCCAUUCACAGGCUCCAGAAGGAGAAGCAGGGAAAUGGCAGACGAGCAGGAGUUAGCCACCAAGGAGGGAAGAGACCCACGUCAGCCCACCCGGAGGGAAGGUAAAGGAGUUUGAACACAGUGUCUGUCCUCUCUGCAAGUUGCAUCCCCAAGUUGCCGACCUUGUGAUGAACAUGUCGUGGAAGGUUUGGAGCAGUGGGACCCCCUUAUACACAGGAUUCGUGCCUUAGGUCCUCCUGUUGUCAUACACGGGUCCCUGAAGGGCAGCUGGACAAGAGCGAACGGAAGCAGGAAAAGAAGCUGGGGAACAAAU